rnacentral:rRNA from 1 species
UAGGCUUGACAUCCCACGACAUCCGUAGAAAUACGGCUUUGUAGCAAUACACGUGGAGACAGGUGCUGCAUGGCUGUCGUCAGCUCGUGUUGUGAAAUGUUGGGUUAAGUCCCGCAACGAGCGCAACCCCUGGAUUUAGUUGCCAGCAUUAAGUUGGGCACUCUAAAUUAACUGCCAGCGUUAAGCUGGAGGAAGGUGGGGAUGACGUCAAGUCCUCAUGGCCCUUACGCCUAGGGCUA